AGGAGCAAUCCGAAGCUGUGAACCGAAGCCCCAGUAAACGGCGGCCGUAACUAUAACGGUCCUAAGGUAGCGAAAUUCCUUGUCAGGUAAAUUCUGACCCGCACGAAUGGCGUAACGACUUGGGCGCUGUCUCAACGAGAGAUCCGGUGAAAUUUUAAUACCUGUGAAGAUGCAGGUUACCCGCGACAAGACGGAAAGACCCCAUGGAGCUUUACUGCAGCUUGAUAUUGGAUUUGGGUACGAUCUGUACAGGAUAGGUGGGAGCCUUUGAAGCAUGAGCGCCAGCUUGUGUGGAGGCGACGUUGGGAUACCACCCUGAUCGUAUCUAGGUUCUAACCUGGUACCGUAAUCCGGUACGGGGACAGUGUCAGGCGGGCAGUUUGACUGGGGCGGUCGCCUCCUAAAGAGUAACGGAGGCGCCCCAAGGUUCCCUCAGAAUGGUUGGAAAUCAUUCGAAGAGUGCAAAGGCAUAAGGGAGCUUGACUGCGAGACCUACAAGUCGAGCAGGGA
rnacentral:rRNA from 1 species